AGGAUAAACGCUGGCGGCGUGCCUAACACAUGCAAGUCGAACGCGCUUGCUAUCCGCGAGGACGGUGAGCGAGUGGCGGACGGGUGAGGAACACGUGGGUGACCUACCUUUCAGUGAGGGAUACCGGCGAGAAAUUGCCGACAAGACCGCAUACGCUUCUCUUUUCAAGGGGAGAAGGAAAGCUUUUCGCAAGAGAGGCGCCGGGAGAUGGGCCUGCGGCCGAUUAGCUAGCUGGUGGGGUAAUGGCCUACCAGGGCGACGAUCGGUAGCUGGUCUGAGAGGACGAUCAGCCACACUGGGAUUGAGAACGGCCCAGACUCCUACGGGGGGCAGCAGUGAGGAAUUUUCGGCAAUGGGGGCAACCCUGACCGAGCAACGCCGCGUGCAGGACGACGGCCUUCGGGUUGUAAACUGCUUUUCUCUGGGACGAGCAAGGACGGUACCAGAGGAAGAAGCCCGGCUAACUACGUGCCAGCAGCCGC
rnacentral:rRNA from 1 species